rnacentral:rRNA from 1 species
AACAAACGCUGGCGGCGUGCCUAAUACAUGCAAGUCGAACGGGGAAAGCUUUCGGGUGAGUACUAGUGGCGCACGGGUGAGCAACGCGUGGAUAAUCUGCCUUAGAGUGGGGGAUACUAGUCGAAAGAUUAGCUAAUACCGCAUAAGACCACAAGAACUGCGGUUCAAGGGGUCAAAGGUUUUUCGCUCUAAGAUGAGUCCGCGUAAGAUUAGCUAGUUGGUAGGGUAACGGCCUACCAAGGCGACGAUCUUUAACUGGUCUGAGAGGAUGAUCAGUCACACUGGAACUGAGACACGGUCCAGACUCCUACGGGAGGCAGCAGUAGGGAAUAUUGCACAAUGGAGGAAACUCUGAUGCAGCGACGCCGCGUGAGUGAUGAAGGCCUUCGGGUCGUAAAGCUCUGUCGCAGGGGAAUAACACAAUGAAUGUACCCUGUAAGAAAGGAUCGGCUAACUUCGUGCCAGCCGCCGCCGUAAUAC